CAGCAGCCGCGGGAAUACGAAGGGGGCUAGCGUUGCUCGGAAUCACUGGGCGUAAAGGGUGCGUAGGCGGGUCUUUAAGUCAGGGGUGAAAUCCUGGAGCUCAACUCCAGAACUGCCUUUGAUACUGAAGAUCUUGAGUUCGGGAGAGGUGAGUGGAACUGCGAGUGUAGAGGUGAAAUUCGUAGAUAUUCGCAAGAACACCAGUGGCGAAGGCGGCAUCCUGGGCCAACACUGACACUGAGGCACGAAAGCGUGGGGAGCAAACAGGAUUAGAGACCCCUGUAGUCCCUGUCUCUUAUAU
rnacentral:rRNA from 1 species